rnacentral:rRNA from 1 species
GACGAACGCUGGCGGCGUGCCUAAUACAUGCAAGUCGAACGCAUUUUCUUUCACCGUAGCUUGCUACACCGAAAGAAACUGAUUGGCGAACGGGUGAGUAACUCGUCGUUAACUUGCCCAUCAUCGGGGGAUAACACUUUGAAACAGGUUCUAAUCCCCCAUAAUUCCAUUUACUGCAUGGUAGUUGGUUGAAUGGCGCUUUUUCGUCCCUUUUGUAUGUUCCCGCGGUGCAUUUGCUAGUUGGUGGGGUAAAGGCCUACCAAGGCUGCGAUGCAUAGCCGACCUGAGAGGGUGAUCAGCCAAACUGGGAAGGAGACACGGCCCAGAGGGCUACGGGAGGCAGCAGUAGGGAAACGGCGGGAAUGGACGCAAGUCAGACCGAGAAAAGCGGAGUGAGUGAAGAAGGUUGUCGGAUCGGAAAACACUGUUGUUAGAAAAGAACAAGGAUGAGAGUGGAAAGAACAGCGCGUGACGGUAACUAACCAGAAAGCCACGGCUAACUACGUG